rnacentral:rRNA from 1 species
UGGGGAAUUUUGGACAAUGGGGGCAACCCUGAUCCAGCCAUGCCGCGUGAGUGAAGAAGGCCUUCGGGUUGUAAAGCUCUUUCGGCGGGGAAGAAAUGGCAACGGCUAAUAUCCGUUGUUGAUGACGGUACCCGCAUAAGAAGCACCGGCUAACUACGUGCCAGCAGCCGCGGUAAUACGUAGGGUGCGAGCGUUAAUCGGAAUUACUGGGCGUAAAGCGUGCGCAGGCGGUUUCGUAAGACAGACGUGAAAUCCCCGGGCUCAACCUGGGAACUGCGUUUGUGACUGCGAGGCUAGAGUACGGCAGAGGGGGGUAGAAUUCCACGUGUAGCAGUGAAAUGCGUAGAGAUGUGGAGGAAUACCAAUGGCGAAGGCAGCCCCCUGGGUUAGUACUGACGCUCAUGCACGAAAGCGUGGGGAGCAAACA